rnacentral:misc_RNA from 1 species
AGUCACUCCAGAAAACAAAUCAUCUUCAGCAGGAAGGAGAUCUCCAAUAGUCUGAGCCUCAAGUUCUUCAAGAGAUUCAAAAGGCUCAUCAUCCUCAUGGGGUGAAGCAACAGUUUUGGCAGGUUGAUUUGAUUGAACAUCAUUCUCUAAUAAACUCAACUUCGCACUAAAUACAUCAGAAAAUGAGCUUGAGAACAGGCUGCUUUCCCACUGAGUCACACUAAUACCAGCCCUAUUUCCAACCAAACCAUAAGAUGCAGGCUGCAGAGACAAACUUGACAGUGAUUUUGUACGAUGGUCCAUAGAAUUCCAUGAAGCCUUCAACAUACUAGCACUUCCUUCACCAAUGGAUAGCUUGUCAUUUUGAUCCAUGGCUAGCAUCAACUCCGGCAGUGCUCCGCCUGGUGAAAGUUUUUCUAAAGGUGAUGAAGCAACCAACUCGCUGCUAGGAAUUUGUACCAUUCCACCUGCCCCUAUUUGGUGAUCAGGCAUUGAAUGCGGCUUCCAAAACCCAAUUUGUUUCUCAGCAGGUAGCCGGAUGUCCUCAAAGAAAUGGGACGACGCAGUUCCACCCCUCUGAUCCAUAAUUUCAAACGGCAUCGCGCGGCUUUAUACACCCAAAAUUUUCAAAAACUUUUAACAGAAACCUGGUUAUUAUCCAAAUUGCUGGCUCCGUCCGGUGUUCAUUGCCCUUCUUCUCUGGAAAAAAUGUACAUCAACAACAUCACCAAUUGCCUCACUCUCUCCCUCCAAAAUUGAGCCAAAUUACGUGAUUCAGAAAGUCAAGGAAGAGAAAUUACGUAAAAAAGACAAUCAAUUAGAAGAUCAAGCAGAGGAAGAGAAAGAUGAAAGGAAAACUAUGGCACAAAGAAAGGAGAAGAAGAGAGAGCAAGGGAUCUUCGCAUAUGUGCCCCAAGAGAACCUCUUUCCCCCUGCAUUGCAAGCUAUAUUGCUCACCACACGAGAGAGAAUAUUUCCUUUUUGUUUUCUUCUAUUUAAUCGUAAUAAUUAUUUAAAAAAACAAAAAAGAAAGAAAGAGAAAUCAGAAUUCACUUUUGGAAGCCAACGAUUCAGAGCUCAAAUCGGCAACUAAGAAGAUUACGGCAAUGGUAGUGCGAAUUUCCGGCGAGAGUUGCCUCGCCGGCAACUCGCUGCGUUAUAGAAAGACUUUUUUUUUUUUCCCUUCUCGUCGGUGUGAGUUACAGGGAGAGAGAGAGAGAUGUGAUGUUAAUGUUAGUUGGCUUUGAAAACAAGACAAAGCAGAAAAGAAAAUAGGCGGGGUUGGGUGUUGCAGAUGAUAUUGUAGAUUAACGGAAGUGAAUAUCAG